GUGUCUUGGAGCGCGCGGAGUAAACAUAUAUGGUUCAUAUAUGUCCGUAGGCACGUAAAAAAAGCGA
rfam:Tomato mosaic virus genomic RNA, complete genome, strain:L11A-Fukushima.